rnacentral:rRNA from 1 species
ACCUUUUUUAGGAGAGAGGCGCCCAAGGUGAGGCUGAUGACUGGGAUGAAGUCGUAACAAGGUAGCCCUACCGGAAGGUGGGGCUGGAUCACC